rnacentral:tRNA from 1 species
CAAAGAGUAGCUUAAAACAAAGCACUCAACUUACAAUUGAGAAAUGUUACCUACCCAAACCUCUUUGC